CAAAAUGCAUGAGGGAAAGCUCUGCGGUCCAAUUUGAUUUGAAAUGGGAUAACCUAGCCUGACCUCAUGAAACAUAAAUGUUGGACCUUUGUUGGAGAGAACUCAAUCAGGAUACGUGAGUUCAACUACAAAUGAAAAUCUCUUAAAGGAGUGGCACCAAUGUUGAAGUGAAAAUGACUCAAUCUCAAGCACCAAAGUACAAAUGAAACCAGUAGUGCAGGGUGUUCUUGAUUUAGUGCAGGGUGUUCUUGAUUCAGUGAGCGUAAACUAGCCAUUGGAAAGGAAGUGUUGCUGCUGUACAGGUGUGUAGAUCAUUUGAGGAAUAAAGAGGUGUAGCUGCUGCCAUGCUGGAAAUGCUUACACUGCCAUGUUGGAUUAAAUGAGUGAUGACCUGGACAUUGGCAAGUUGACACGAGUAUCUGAUCAGCCAAUUAAGGGACUCCAAGAGACAAAAGCAAAGCUGGGCAACAAAGACAACUAGAAUACUUGUGACUUGGACAAGUUGAAUAAAUGCACAUUUGGGAGACUUGAAGCACCAACACUCACAUGUUCUUGGCUUUAGUUUUACUUGUUACAUACAGUCUCUUAGGUGACUACCGUGUCGUCAACAUCGCCUUCAUUGGAGCUUUUACACGCUCUCAACGCCUUUUGAAGUUGUGAAUCUGUUGCUUUUUCCAUUGUGCAUGUGACAUGUCUCAUCUCCUCUUAGACAACGACUUAGAGUGUCGAUGUCGUUCUUUUUCCUCUUUCAGGUUCGUUGUGCAUUGUUGCAUGUCCCGUCUCCUCUCAGGCAACUAUUUAGAACAUUGAGGUUGGUCAUUUUCCUUUUUCUAGUGCCUUGAUUGGAGAAUUUUGGAUUUUUAAUGGUUUUUCUCUUCUGUUCAUCCAUGGCUUCUUCCUCUUCUAACCUUUCUUUUGUCACUAUUGCUUUUGAUUCGUCCAUAUAUAUUUUUUCUCUCGUGGCAAAGAUGAUUUUUGUUAAUUUAUUAAUAGUCGUGGUGACUCUUCAACAAUGAUCUAUUUAUCCACUGGAUGACAAUAAUGCAUUCCUUAAUGACGAUUUGUAAGAAGAGAUUUAUAUGGAGCAAUCUCCCAGAUUUGUUGCUUAGGCGAGUCUUUU